ACUUACCUAGAACUGUUUUUACUGUUUGAAUCUCAAUGGCUUUGUCUUUGUCAGCAAACAGUUCAGACAGGUGGAGUGGACGUGACACCCCUGCUAGACAUGUUUCAGGGUUUUAUUCUGAUUGCUCUCUCUUGGGCUGACUGCUGUGUGGUCCCACGGGCAGGACACUAGCAUGCAGUGCAUCGUGCUAGUUCGUUUCUUCCACAAGGCACGCAGCCUGUGUGCACUGAGAUGGCUCCAGGAUGCAAACCGAAGCCUAUCCUUUUUGCCUCCCAGUACGUGCUGCUUUGGACAGCUCAUCCUGGAUCUGAAAAGCUGCAAAACAAGCUGCACCUGAUUUAUAUGAUGCACGCAGGCUUAUCAGACUCUGGAUUUACUACACGAAUCUGAUGGCAAAUACCACCACUACCUUGAAGUUCUGUGUAUUACCUAUGUGGUAGGAACUUCAAAAGCAAUAUAUUCCAUGUGACUGAGAAAAUGACUUGUAUCUCUCUAGAGAAUCAAGCAAAAAGAAGGCCAUCCUGAAAAAGAGAGCACUGAGGAAAAGCAAACAUGAUAUCUUCCCAACAGAGGAAAAAAACAAGGAAAAGUUAAA